rnacentral:tRNA from 10 species
UCCUCAGUAGCUCAGUGGUAGAGCGAUCGACUGUUAAUCGAUUGGUCGCAGGUUCGAAUCCUGCCUGGGGAG